rnacentral:rRNA from 1 species
UGGGGAAUAUUGCACAAUGGGCGCAAGCCUGAUGCAGCCAUGCCGCGUGUGUGAAGAAGGCCUUCGGGUUGUAAAGCACUUUCAGCGGGGAGGAAGGCGUUAAGGUUAAUAACCUUGGCGAUUGACGUUACCCGCAGAAGAAGCACCGGCUAACUCCGUGCCAGCAGCCGCGGUAAUACGGAGGGUGCAAGCGUUAAUCGGAAUUACUGGGCGUAAAGCGCACGCAGGCGGUCUGUCAAGUCGGAUGUGAAAUCCCCGGGCUCAACCUGGGAACUGCAUUCGAAACUGGCAGGCUAGAGUCUUGUAGAGGGGGGUAGAAUUCCAGGUGUAGCGGUGAAAUGCGUAGAGAUCUGGAGGAAUACCGGUGGCGAAGGCGGCCCCCUGGACGAAGACUGACGCUCAGGUGCGAAAGCGUGGGGAGCAAACAGG